AAGCAAAAUAAUGCUUUUUGAAAUUGUCUCUAGGAUUUUAAAGUGAAAAAAUGAUGGUACUAUCCAAAGUUCUUUAUUUCAGAAUCUGACAGUGGAUUCCUUUAACAUAGGCUCAAGAUCAAAACAGCAUACCCUCUAAGCUCAGACAGACUGUUGACUCCAAGGGUUUUGAUCAAUACCAUAACAAACCUUUUUCCUUUGACAUACUCUGGGUUUUCCCUCAUAUUGUUGUAAAUUACAGAAUAAUGUUAAUUGUUCUCAAAACUGGAUUUUCUUCAAAAUUAAAAAAUUUUUUUCUUUCGGAUUUAAUGAAGUAUUGCUAGCUGAAGCCAGUUUGACAUGGUGA
rnacentral:lncRNA from 1 species